GAUGAACGCUAGCGGCAGGCUUAACACAUGCAAGUCGAGGGGCAGCAUAACAUUGCUUGCAAUGUUUGAUGACGACCGGCGCACGGGUGCGUAACGCGUAUGUAACCUACCUCAAACAGGGGCAUAACACUGAGAAAUUGGUACUAAUUCCCCAUAACACCUUGGGAGGCAUCUCCUUAGGUUGAAAGUUCCGGCGGUUUGAGAUGGACAUGCGUUGUAUUAGAUAGUUGGUGAGGUAACGGCCCACCAAGUCGACGAUCGGUAGCCGGACUGAGAGGUCGAACGGCCACAUUGGAACUGAGAAACGGUCCAGACUCCUACGGGAGGCAGCAGUGGGGAAUAUUGGGCAAUGGGCGAAAGCCUGACCCAGCGACGCCGCGUGAGGGAAGAAGGUCUUCGGAUUGUAAACCUUAGUCAACAGGGAAGAAGCAAGUGACGGUACCUGUGGAGGAAGCCACGGCUAACUACGUG
rnacentral:rRNA from 1 species